rnacentral:rRNA from 1 species
UACGAAGGGGGCUAGCGUUGCUCGGAAUUACUGGGCGUAAAGGGCGCGUAGGCGGAUAUUUAAGUUAGAGGUGAAAGCCCAGGGCUCAACCCCUGGAACAGCCUUUAAUACUGGAUAUCUUGAGUUCGGGAGAGGUGAGUGGAACUCCGAGUGUAGAGGUGGAAAUUCGUAGAUAUUCGGAAGAACACCAGUGGCGAAGGCGACUCACUGGCCCGAUACUGACCGCUGAGGCACGAAAGCGUGGGGAGCGAAC